GCCCGGCUGGCUCAGUUGGAGGAGCAUGCAACUCUUGAUCUCUGGUUGUGGGUUCAAGCCCCAUGUUGGGUG
rnacentral:tRNA from 1 species